rnacentral:rRNA from 1 species
AGGACGAACGCUGGCGGCGUGCUUAACACAUGCAAGUCGAGCGGUGAUCCUCCCUUCGGGAGGUGAUCAGCGGCGAACGGGUGAGUAACACGUGGGCAACCUGCCCCUCACACUGGGAUAACCUCAGGAAACCGGGGCUAAUACCGGAUACGACCUCGAGCGGCAUCUCUUGAGGUGGAAAGCUCCGACGGUGAGGGAUGGGCCCGCGGCCUAUCAGCUUGUUGGUGGGGUAAUGGCCUACCAAGGCGACGACGGGUA